rnacentral:lncRNA from 1 species
UGAAGAUGAUGUUCUAUGACUGGAAAGGCUGAAACGAGGAAGAAGUGGAAGGAGAAAAUGUAGAUCUGUGAAGAAGAUAACCUGGUUUGGAGUAUGGAGACGCGAGAAGAGGCUUGCUACGAAGAAACUCUCGAGAGCGAAAAUGAGAGAUGUGUGUGUCUACGAAGUGAAAGGGAAGCAAAUCAAUUUCGUGGAGGAUG